AGUUAAUUGUUAACAGAAUUUGAUAUCCUAUUUGAGUCCUCAAACCUUAGCAAUUUCUUUCAGCAUAGUUUGAGAAAUCCUACUUACUAAUCACUGUUUUCACAUGAAUAAUAAAACUGAAAUUUUUAGUCUUGUUUCAGCUAAUGAUUCUUGUGCCAAUUCUUUCCAUAGAUUAAAAUUUGGGGAGGAAAGUGGUAUAAUUGUCAUGUCUAAUCACUAACCCUCAGAUCUAGUCAAAUUUGAAUGAACCAUUAUUUAACUUUUAUUUUUUAUAGUAGGCUUCAAAAGAGAUGAUUGACUUAAGAAAAGCGAAAGUAUAGGACUUUAAAAAGAAAAAUUCCCGAAUUAAUACAUAGGUUUAACUUUUAAGCUCUUAGAGGGGAGAAUGAGAAGGCAGGCGUUAGUGGUUUGAUACAAAGGAAGAAAAUUCUAGAUCCACCUUAAAAAGUAGGAGAAUUAAUUCACUAGUGGGUUGAAAGAGGAUCUCUGGAUAGUACUGAAGGUCCAUCUGAAUCAUAUUUUUAAUGUGAAAUCAGUUCAAGAAGUUGAUAUAAAACUUACCAGUAAUUACAUGACUCUUUCUUCUCCUUUUUGAAGGUAUAACGAGUCUUCUGAAUUAUAUCUCCUUCUACGUGUGGGAGUAUGGGGGAAUGUAUAGCUUAGCAAUUCUUCAACUACUUUACAUAGAUGCUAUAGUUGAACAAAUAAAUAAAGUGUAGAUAAUGAGAACCACAUUUGUCAUGGUCAGAGUUAAAAGUUACAAAUAAGCUACUGAGAAGGCUGAAAUGAUCUCUGCUCUGAUGGAUCGGAGUUGGAGAAUAUGUACAUAUCAUGUGUCCAAACAUGUGAUUAAUGUACGCUUGAGAAGUACCUGUUUUCUGAGAUUACUGGGUGUGCGGUUCUAUAUAUGGUCCUUAGGUAUGUGUCAACAGCGGAUAACCUGCGGGAUGGUUUUCUUUAUAGACUCCAGUCUUCAUCAGCAUGAAAAAUGUUAACUUUUUCACUUUUGACUCUUUCUGUGGUGUUCUCUAUGGUAAAUCAAUAUCCAAUAUGUUAAAGUCACAUUUUCAUCCUAGAUGAUUCUGUAAAUAUGGUAAUAAUUUAUGGGUCAAAUUAAAGGGUGAGAAACUGCCAGAUUGUUUCUAGAGUGGCUGUAUCAUUUUGUUAGAGGCAUAUUGAGGUGAAAUUACAACUGCAAAGUGUCAGCAAGAGGAAAUUCCAUAGGAUGUUGACACUGGUCUGUAUCCUAUUUGUGGUGGUAGUUAUAAGAAUCUAAUUAUGGGUUAAACUCACAGAACAAUACACAAAAACAAUGAAUAACACUGUUUGCAAAUGUACAAAAAUAAAUAAAUAAAAGCUAUACUAGUUUCUGUGAUAUAAGAUAGCCCACAGCAUUCUUGGAGAGGAAACACACAAGAAUUCUUAAAUACUUUAGGAAGAUUUACUUAAUAUUGAGCAAAUACAAGAAACAAGUUACUGCCUAAGAAGCCAUCAGUUUUACUCUCUUGUUCUUUGUCUUUUAUAUAAAUCUACUCUUACAGACAUUAUUUCACAUUCUUUAUAUCCCUUUUAAUUCUAAUCCUGAAUUUGACUCACACUUGAAAAAAAUGGCAUUUCUGUUAGUUCUGAGAGAUACAGAAUCAUUCUGCAAUUGUAGGCAAUGCUCAUUUAAUCAUUCAAAGAUAGUGUGGCAGGCUUUUUCAUGGAACAGUUUUUACGUC
ensembl:lncRNA